UCGCUCUUCAACGAGGAAUCCCUAGUAAGCACAAGUCAUCAGCUUGUGCUGAUUACGUCCCUGCCCUUUGUACACACCGCCCGUCGCUACUACCGAUUGAAUGGCUUAGUGAGGCCCUCGGAUCGAUGCUCGGAGACUGGCAACAGUUUCCGUUCGUUGAGAAGUUGGUCAAACUUGGUCAUUUAGAGGAAGUAAAAGUCGUAACAAGGUUUCCGUAGGUGAACCUGCGGAAGGAUCAUUAUUGAUUUAGCAAACCGAGGUUUUGCGAUCACACUUAUAUUUAAAACCCACUCUUUAAUGUAUAAAAUUUAUGUAUUAAUGAUAAAAAUAAAGAUCACUUUCAACAACGGAUCUCUUGGCUUUCGCAUCGAUGAAGAACGUAGCGAAGUGCGAUAAGUAAUGUGAAUUGCAGAAUUCCGCGAAUCAUCGAAUCUUUGAACGCAAAUUGCACUUUCUGGUAUUCCGGAAAGUAUGCCUGUUUGAGGGUCAGUUAAAUAAAAAUCGGUGUUGUUGCUGCUUUUAGUGGUGACGCGUCGGAAUUGGGUCGUCUUAUCUUCGGUUAAGUGACUUAAAAUUUUUUAUGAUUUUUUGAACGUAUUUAAAUUUUUUUGUACGUUUGAGAUAUCGUGUUUAUUAGGUUCGGUCAUCUCAUGACUCGCGCCUAUAAUUUUUCAUUAAAUGACCUCAAAUCAGGUAAGAAUACCCGCUGAACUUAAGCAUAUCAAUAAGCGGAGGAAAAGAAAAUAACAAUGAUUCCCUUAGUAACGGCGAGUGAAGGGGGAAAAGCUCAAAUUUUAAAUCUGCUAGGUUUUACUUAUCAGAAUUGUAAUUUGAAGAAGCGUUUUCCGCGUCUCGGUUGGCCCAAAUCCUUUGGGAUAAGGUAUCAUGGAGGGUGAGAAUCCCGUUCGGUUGACCUUAUGACGUUCUACGAUACGCUUUCUAAGAGUCGAGUUGUUUGGGAUUGCAGCUCAAAAUGGGAGGUAAAUUUCACCUAAUGCUAAAUAUAAGCGAGAGACCGAUAGCGAACAAGUACCGUGAGGGAAAGAUGAAAAGAACUUUGAAAAGAGAGUUAAAUAGUAUGUGAAAUUGUUGAAAGGGAAACGAUUGAAGUCAGUCAUGUCGGCGAGAAUCAACUUGGAAUAACUUCAAAGUGCAUUUCUUUGCUUGGCAGGUUAGCGUCGAUUUUGAACGUCAUAAAAUGAUUGGGGGAAGGUAGCUCUUUCGAGAGUGUUAUAGCUCUUGGUUAAUGUGAUGUUUGGGAUCGAGGUUUGCAACGGAUACCUUUUAGGCUAGCCGCCUGGCCUCUGAUUCGAUGUCGGAUUAUAGACAGCAUGUUGACUAUGAUCUGAUUAUUGGUCAAAAGGUUAGAGCGAGCAUAAAUUCGUUAAGGACGCUGACGUAAUGGCUUUAAACGACCCGUCUUGAAACACGGACCAAGGAGUCUAACAUAUGUGCGAGUGUUU
rnacentral:rRNA from 1 species